rnacentral:rRNA from 1 species
CCCUUAGACGUUCUGGGCCGCACGCGUGCUACACUGACGCAUACAGCGAGCACUUUCCAGUUCCGAGAGGCUACUGGUAAUCAUCAAUAUGCGUCGUGAUGGGGAUAGAUCUUUGGAAUUCUGGAUCUUGAACGAGGAAUGCCUAGUAAUCGCAGGUCAUUAGCCUGCGAUGAUUAAGUCCCUGCCCUUUGUACACACCGCCCGUCGCUCCUACCGAUGGGGUGAUCCGGUGAAUGAUUCGGACUUCCGCAGUGCUAGCUACUAGCUUUGUGGAAGAAAGUCUUGUGAACCUUAUCACUUGGAGGAAGGAGAAGUCGUANCA